rnacentral:rRNA from 1 species
AUUGAACGCUGGCGGCAGGCCUAACACAUGCAAGUCGAGCGGAUGAAGGGUGCUUGCUCCUGGAUUCAGCGGCGGACGGGUGAGUAAUGCCUAGGAAUCUGCCUGGUAGUGGGGGAUAACGUCCGGAAACGGGCGCUAAUACCGCAUACGUCCUGAGGGCGUACGUGGGGGAUCUUCGGACCUCACGCUAUCAGAUGAGCCUAGGUCGGAUUAGCUAGUUGGUGGGGUAAAGGCCUACCAAGGCGACGAUCCGUAACUGGUCUGAGAGGAUGAUCAGUCACACUGGAACUGAGACACGGUCCAGACUCCUACGGGAGGCAGCAGUGGGGAAUAUUGGACAAUGGGCGAAAGCCUGAUCCAGCCAUGCCGCGUGUGUGAAGAAGGUCUUCGGAUUGUAAAGCACUUUAAGUUGGGAGGAAGGGCAGUAAGUUAAUACCUUGCUGUUUUGACGUUACCAACAGAAUAAGCACCGGCUAACUUCGUG